UAAAACACCUCUUCCCAUGCGAUCACAGAAGUUAAGCAACAUCAAGCCUGAUCAGUACCUAGAUGGGUAACCACUUGGUAAUAACAGGUGCU
rnacentral:rRNA from 1 species